rnacentral:rRNA from 1 species
UACAGAGGUCCCAAGCGUUGUUCGGAUUCACUGGGCGUAAAGGGUGCGUAGGUGGUGAGGUAAGUCGGAUGUGAAAUCUCCGAGCUCAACUCGGAAAUGGCAUUGGAAACUACCUUGCUCGAGGAUUGGAAAAAGGACUGGAAUGCUUGGUGUAGCAGUGAAAUGCGUAGAUAUCAAGCGGAACACCAGUGGCGAAGGCGAGUCCCUGGACAACUCCUGACACUGAGGCACGAAAGCUAGGGGAGCAAACAGG